ACCAGAGCUCCUCAACGACGACAGCACAAUCUGCUAAGUUCCUUCUUGUACGGUAACUCUUGUACACCUUUUGUAGCGUAGUUGCAGCUGCAUCAAGCUCGGUGACCGGUCUAGGUGAGAAGAACACAAAAGGCUCAGGUGGAGUUACUGUGGGUUUCUUUAUUUGGAUUCUCUCACAGUUUCUCCCGUUCAAAGUGUUAUGAGUUGACUUCUUUGUCUCAAGAACCUUAAAACCUGAAUCAUUUUUUGUUUCCUCAGUAUUUGAGCUCAAUUUGUGAGCUGCAGCAUCCAAACUCUUCUGCCUACAACAUUUGAAGCAACACUUAGAUUAGUGUAAACAUCUUUAUAAGACAUCACAAGAAGAAGAUCAAUCAAGUAACUCACCAAAGCUCCUCUACAAGGACAGCACAAUCUGCUAAGUUCCUUCUUGUCCGGUAACUCUUGUACACCUUUUGUACGGUAGUUGCAGCUGCAUCAAGCUCGGUGACCGGUCUAGGGGAGAAGAACACGAAAGGCUCAGGUGGAGUAAUCGUAGGUUUCUUUAUUUGGAUUCUCUCACAGUUUCUUCCAUUCAAAGUGCUAGGCGUUGACUUCUUUGUCUCCCAGACAUCAAAAUUUGAAUCAGUCUUGGUAUCUUCAGGAACCUCCCAGCUGUUGAAA
rnacentral:lncRNA from 1 species